GGCCAGGCAGCGCUCCAAACGCGCGACCUC
rnacentral:sRNA from 1 species